CACACUAUCAUUAACUGAAUCCAUAGGUUAAUGAGGCGAACCGGGGGAACUGAAACAUCUAAGUACCCCGAGGAAAAGAAAUCAACCGAGAUUCCCCCAGUAGCGGCGAGCGAACGGGGAGGAGCCCAGAGCCUGAAUCAGUGUGUGUGUUAGUGGAAGCGUCUGGAAAGGCGCGCGAUACAGGGUGACAGCCCCGUACACAAAAAUGCACAUGCUGUGAGCUCGAUGAGUAGGGCGGGACACGUGGUAUCCUGUCUGAAUAUGGGGGGACCAUCCUCCAAGGCUAAAUACUCCUGACUGACCGAUAGUGAACCAGUACCGUGAGGGAAAGGCGAAAAGAACCCCGGCGAGGGGAGUGAAAAAGAACCUGAAACCGUGUACGUACAAGCAGUGGGAGCACAGAGCAAUCUGUGUGACUGCGUACCUUUUGUAUAAUGGGUCAGCGACUUAUAUUCUGUAGCAAGGUUAACCGAAUAGGGGAGCCGAAGGGAAACCGAGUCUUAACUGGGCGUUAAGUUGCAGGGUAUAGACCCGAAACCCGGUGAUCUAGCCAUGGGCAGGUUGAAGGUUGGGUAACACUAACUGGAGGACCGAACCGACUAAUGUUGAAAAAUUAGCGGAUGACUUGUGGCUGGGGGUGAAAGGCCAAUCAAACCGGGAGAUAGCUGGUUCUCCCCGAAAGCUAUUUAGGUAGCGCCUCGUGAAUUCAUCUCCGGGGGUAGAGCACUGUUUCGGCAAGGGGGUCAUCCCGACUUACCAACCCGAUGCAAACUGCGAAUACCGGAGAAUGUUAUCACGGGAGACACACGGCGGGUGCUAACGUCCGUCGUGAAGAGGGAAACAACCCAGACCGCCAGCUAAGGUCCCAAAGUCAUGGUUAAGUGGGAAACGAUGUGGGAAGGCCCAGACAGCCAGGAUGUUGGCUUAGAAGCAGCCAUCAUUUAAAGAAAGCGUAAUAGCUCACUGGUCGAGUCGGCCUGCGCGGAAGAUGUAACGGGGCUAAACCAUGCACCGAAGCUGCGGCAGCGACACUAUGUGUUGUUGGGUAGGGGAGCGUUCUGUAAGCCUGUGAAGGUGUGCUGUGAGGCAUGCUGGAGGUAUCAGAAGUGCGAAUGCUGACAUAAGUAACGAUAAAGCGGGUGAAAAGCCCGCUCGCCGGAAGACCAAGGGUUCCUGUCCAACGUUAAUCGGGGCAGGGUGAGUCGACCCCUAAGGCGAGGCCGAAAGGCGUAGUCGAUGGGAAACAGGUUAAUAUUCCUGUACUUGGUGUUACUGCGAAGGGGGGACGGAGAAGGCUAUGUUGGCCGGGCGACGGUUGUCCCGGUUUAAGCGUGUAGGCUGGUUUUCCAGGCAAAUCCGGAAAAUCAAGGCUGAGGCGUGAUGACGAGGCACUACGGUGCUGAAGCAACAAAUGCCCUGCUUCCAGGAAAAGCCUCUAAGCAUCAGGUAACAUCAAAUCGUACCCCAAACCGACACAGGUGGUCAGGUAGAGAAUACCAAGGCGCUUGAGAGAACUCGGGUGAAGGAACUAGGCAAAAUGGUGCCGUAACUUCGGGAGAAGGCACGCUGAUAUGUAGGUGAAGCGACUUGCUCGUGGAGCUGAAAUCAGUCGAAGAUACCAGCUGGCUGCAACUGUUUAUUAAAAACACAGCACUGUGCAAACACGAAAGUGGACGUAUACGGUGUGACGCCUGCCCGGUGCCGGAAGGUUAAUUGAUGGGGUUAGCGCAAGCGAAGCUCUUGAUCGAAGCCCCGGUAAACGGCGGCCGUAACUAUAACGGUCCUAAGGUAGCGAAAUUCCUUGUCGGGUAAGUUCCGACCUGCACGAAUGGCGUAAUGAUGGCCAGGCUGUCUCCACCCGAGACUCAGUGAAAUUGAACUCGCUGUGAAGAUGCAGUGUACCCGCGGCAAGACGGAAAGACCCCGUGAACCUUUACUAUAGCUUGACACUGAACAUUGAGCCUUGAUGUGUAGGAUAGGUGGGAGGCUUGGAAGUGUGGACGCCAGUCUGCAUGGAGCCGACCUUGAAAUACCACCCUUUAAUGUUUGAUGUUCUAACGUUGACCCGUAAUCCGGGUUGCGGACAGUGUCUGGUGGGUAGUUUGACUGGGGCGGUCUCCUCCUAAAGAGUAACGGAGGAGCACGAAGGUUGGCUAAUCCUGGUCGGACAUCAGGAGGUUAGUGCAAUGGCAUAAGCCAGCUUGACUGCGAGCGUGACGGCGCGAGCAGGUGCGAAAGCAGGUCAUAGUGAUCCGGUGGUUCUGAAUGGAAGGGCCAUCGCUCAACGGAUAAAAGGUACUCCGGGGAUAACAGGCUGAUACCGCCCAAGAGUUCAUAUCGACGGCGGUGUUUGGCACCUCGAUGUCGGCUCAUCACAUCCUGGGGCUGAAGUAGGUCCCAAGGGUAUGGCUGUUCGCCAUUUAAAGUGGUACGCGAGCUGGGUUUAGAACGUCGUGAGACAGUUCGGUCCCUAUCUGCCGUGGGCGCUGGAGAACUGAGGGGGGCUGCUCCUAGUACGAGAGGACCGGAGUGGACGCAUCACUGGUGUUCGGGUUGUCAUGCCAAUGGCACUGCCCGGUAGCUAAAUGCGGAAGAGAUAAGUGCUGAAAGCAUCUAAGCACGAAACUUGCCCCGAGAUGAGUUCUCCCUGACUCCUUGAGAGUCCUGAAGGAACGUUGAAGACGACGACGUUGAUAGGCCGGGUGUGUAAGCGCAGCGAUGCGUUGAGCUAACCGGUACUAAUGAACCGUGAGGCUUAACCUUACAACGCCGAAGGUGUUU
rnacentral:rRNA from 1 species